UACGAAGGGGGCUAGCGUUGCUCGGAAUCACUGGGCGUAAAGCGCACGUAGGCGGAUUGUUAAGUCAGGGGUGAAAUCCUGGAGCUCAACUCCAGAACUGCCUUUGAUACUGGCGAUCUUGAGUCCGGGAGAGGUGAGUGGAACUGCGAGUGUAGAGGUGAAAUUCGUAGAUAUUCGCAAGAACACCAGUGGCGAAGGCGGCUUACUGGUCCGGUUCUGACGCUGAGGCGCGAAAGCGUGGGGAGCAAACAGG
rnacentral:rRNA from 1 species